CCCUACCUCUCCCGAGCCAGGGCCAGGGCCGGGAUGCUGAGAAGCCGAUCGAGGCCGACAGCGCAGAGAGGGGUCACCUCGGAGCUCCGAGGGUCAAAUUCCGAUGAGGCGCGGGGACCCGGCCGCGCCGUCCGGUCCCGACUCGGAGUUCUGAUAGAAGGCGGGGUCAGCACCGCCGCUCAGACCCGCUCGCGGGCUCGGGCUCCUAGUGCUUCGGGAUUCGGGAGGUGCGCGUGGCUCCCGCAGCUACGCUCCGGCUCGGCUCCGGCGGCGGCGCUCGGAGGGGCGGAGACCCCAGCGAUGCGAAGGAAACCUGGCGCGGAUCUGGAGCGGACUGUGCUGUGGCCGGGGGCUGGCUGGGACGCGGGGCAGGAGAUGGGGUGGCGGGGCGCGGGGGAAAGCGGAGCUGCCGUGGGCGGUGAGGUGGGCGCAGCUGGGUGGCCUCUAGCGUUGCAGAUGAGACCCCUCCCCUUGUCCCCGGUGGGGAGCGGGACUGAGGGUGGGGAGAUGUCUUGAGUUUUGGUGGAAUGGAGUGACAGAGUUAUCGCAUCGUGCCCGCAGCGUCUUUUAAGUUCGGUCCCGGGAGUUCGCCCCGUCGCUCAGUUCCCCUUCUCCAGGGCCCCUAGCAAAGUCAGCCAGGCUCUCCGAUCUCCGGCCGCCAGAUUAGUAAGAGCAGCUGGAAAGGGGACACGGAGCCGAACACCCUGCCCCGGUCGGAGAAACUGAUAGGGGAAACGGGAAACCCAAGACGGUUGGGAAGGGAGGAGACCCCAAGAGGCAGAAGCGGGACGCUGAAAGGAGCAGAGCGAGGCCUACUCUGGGCCAGAUGACUCCCGCGCCCCGGGGUCGCCGAGCAGACUCGCUCAGCUCCGCUCAGCCGCGGGCAUCUCACCCGCCGUCAGGCCGCAAGGCCCCCGCGGGGCAGCACGAGUGCACGGGGCCAUACACCUGUGAACUUCCAGGGACACCUGUGGACAUCCGAGUACACGAACACAGACCUCUGUGCACACGCCGGGCUCCUGUGCUGACCCCGUUUUAUGCUUUCCAAGGUGUUUGCUCCACAACCUGAUAAUCGGAUCCCAUUGGCUGAGCUAAUGUGACACGAUGGAGGAUUUGAAGUUCCCGGACUCCCGCAAGCAAAGCCACCCCAAGAGUUAAAGGGAUCAGAGCCAUCUCUUCAGUUCAAAGCCAAGCAGGCCAAUAGACUCGGGCCAUCGCCACCCACCCGCCAUGCCUGCAACCCCAGUUUUGUUGGGCUUGGAUUUCAGACAAAGAACUGAUGGGAGAUGAAGUCCCCGCCUCCCUCCCCCACCCCUACUCCUAUACAAAGGUCUCAUUACUCACCUACAACCUGGCACAACCCCACUGCUCCAGAGAAAGGCAUCUACUGCUCACAGGGAAGAAGGGCAGGGGGCUUCUUGGAGGAAGAUCUGAUCCUCGCACCCUAGCUCUUGGUAGCUGGUUCUCACUGAUGAGAGUCCAUUUGCCCCUCAGGGUAAGAAUCCAGGGAAAAACACACAUAAUGCUGAUCUUGAAGUCUGGGCUCUUCAUAAACAUACAAUAACUAGGUCCUGCUUUCCAAAAAGGGCCAGACCAGAUCACAUGCAGCGUUUUCCAAGCCAAUGGUUGAGAAAGCAACUCUUAAGCCCCUUCCCCCUCAUAAGAUCAGAGUUGGGAGAAGAAAGAGAAAGAGGUUUGGGGAGGACUUUUAGAGCCCUACCUGCAAAGGGGAAGUCAACCAGGUUGGUGGUGAAAGGCUUUAAGACUCAAAGGACCUUGCGAUGUCCCCAGUGUUUAGGGGCUGUGCUUGUGCGAGAAAUGGAGUGACUGACUAGCUAUGCCCAUCCAUGAAAGAAGGGUGGACAAGUGGAUGCCCUCCAAGUGUAUCUAGGCCAAGGAUGCCCAAGCCUGGAGCUGUUUUUGUUUUUUUUUCCCCAUCCCUCUCUCCCAUCUCUCUUUUCAUCCUCUGACCUGGGAGAGUGAUGGAGUUCCUACAGGGAAACCUACAUGGAAUCCAUGGGCAGAAAACCAGGGCCCAAUGCUGAGGUAUGGAAGUUCCCAGGGGACCUUAAGGGAAAACUCCAAAGAAGCCAUGAGAAGACUCACAAGGGAAAGAAAUUAGCUUCAAAGACCUGGAGCCCAGAGAACACAGGACAGAGCAAUCAAGAACUUGGGGGCUCCCUUUCCACUGGUGAGUGAGGGGGUGGCGUGACAUCCCUCCACUGCCUCUAUUUCUGGCCAAGCAGGUGCCCCCCCGCCAACUCCCACCCCCUGCUUGCAGCCAACUCACCCUCACUCUAGACAGGAAAUUUCUGUCCGUGAUGAAGAUCGAAGUGUUGAUUGCUAAUCCCACUGAGGUUUUCUAGGUACCAACAUUAGUGAAUGUAGAACUCAUCUAUCACCUGAGAAGGGCCCAGAUAAGUUACAGGACUGCCAAGAUUUUUAUCUAGCGACAAAAGAAAAAUUCUUCCACUGAAUAAACUCUGAGAUGGCAGAAGAC
ensembl:lncRNA